AGUGAACGCUGGCGGCAGGCCUAACACAUGCAAGUCGAACGGCAGCACGGCAGUAGCAAUACUGUGGGUGGCGAGUGGCGGACGGGUGAGGAAUACAUGGGAAUCUACCCUGUCGUGGGGGAUAACGUAGGGAAACUUACGCUAAUACCGCAUACGACCGAGAGGUGAAAGCGGCGGACCGCAAGGCGUCGCGCGAUUGGAUGAGCCCAUGUCGGAUUAGCUAGUUGGCGGGGUAAAGGCCCACCAAGGCGACGAUCGGUAGCUGGUCUGAGUAGACGAUAGGCCACACGGGAGAUAGGACACGGUCAAGACUCCGACGGGAGGCAGCAUUGAGGAACGUUGGACAAGGGGCGCGAGCCUGAUCCAGCCAUGCCGCGUGAGUGAAGUAGGCCUUCGGGUUGUAAAGCUCUUUUGGCCGGAAAGAAAAGCUCUCGGUUAAUACCCGGGGGUGAUGACGGUACCGGAAGAAUAAGCACCGGCUAACUUCGUGCCAGCCGCCGCGGUAA
rnacentral:rRNA from 1 species